AAUUUCGUGCCAGCCACCGCGGUUAUACGAAAGGCCCUAAACAACGACAAACCGGCGUAAAAUGUGACUAGAGAUUCAUAAUAUUUUAAAUAUCAAAAUCCAUUAGCCUAGUUGUAAAACACUUAGACAGUGGAGAAAAUCAGCACAGAUAUUCUUAAUAUUAUAUUCUUGAUUACACGAAAGCUUAGAAACAAACUAGGAUUAGAUACCCUACUAUGCUAAGCCCUGAACAUUGAAAGUUUACCUAUACUUUACUUUCCGCCAGAGAACUACGAGUGAAAAACUUAAAACUCAAAGGACUUGACGGUGUCCCAUAUCGGCCUAGAGGAGCCUGUCCUAUAAUCGAUACCCCCCGUUCCACCCAACCCCAACUAGCAAAACAUCAGCCUAUAUACCGCCGUCGACAGUCUACCCUAUGAAGGUCCAAUAGUAGACACAAUAGCCCUAACGCUAAUACGUCAGGUCAAGGUGUAGCACAUGCUGGGGAAGAGAUUGGCUACAUUUUUUAUAAUAAAAAACACGAAUUGUACCAUGAAAAAGUACAUGAGGGUGAAUUUAGUAGUAAAACAGACAAGAGUGUCUGUUUUAACAACGCUCUGGGACGCGUACAC
rnacentral:rRNA from 1 species